rnacentral:rRNA from 1 species
AUUGAACGCUGGCGGAAUGCUUUACACAUGCAAGUCGAACGGUAGAGGGGGCAACCCCUUGAGAGUGGCGAACGGGUGAGUAAUAUAUCGGAACGUGCCCAGUCGUGGGGAUAACGUAGCGAAAGUUACGCUAAUACCGCAUACGAUCUAAGGAUGAAAGCGGGGGAUCGCAAGACCUCGCGCGAUUGGAGCGGCCGAUAUCAGAUUAGGUAGUUGGUGGGGUAAAGGCUCACCAAGCCAACGAUCUGUAGCUGGUCUGAGAGGACGACCAGCCACACUGGAACUGAGACACGGUCCAGACUCCUACGGGAGGCAGCAGUGGGGAAUUUUUGGACAAUGGACGCAAGUCUGAUCCAGCCAUUCCGCGUGCAGGAUGAAGGCCCUCGGGUUGUAAACUGCUUUUGUACGGAACGAAAAGGUUUCUCUUAAUACGAUGAGNUCAUGACGUACCGUAAGAAUAAGCACCGGCUAACUAACGUGCCAGCAGCCGCGGAAACGUGG